UACGAAGGGGGCUAGCGUUGCUCGGAAUUACUGGGCGUAAAGCGCACGUAGGCGGCUUCUUAAGUCGGUGGUGAAAUCCUGGAGCUCAACUCCAGAACUGCCUUCGAUACUGGGAGCUCGAGUCCGGGAGAGGUGAGUGGAACUGCGAGUGUAGAGGUGAAAUUCGUAGAUAUUCGCAAGAACACCAGUGGCGAAGGCGGCUCACUGGCCCGGUACUGACGCUGAGGCGCGAAAGCGUGGGGAGCAAACAGGG
rnacentral:rRNA from 1 species